AGGUGAUCCAACCGCAGGUUCCCCUACGGUUACCUUGUUACGACUUCACCCCAGUCAUGAAUCACAAAGUGGUAAGCGCCCUCCCGAAGGUUAAGCUACCUACUUCUUUUGCAACCCACUCCCAUGGUGUGACGGGCGGUGUGUACAAGGCCCGGGAACGUAUUCACCGUGGCAUUCUGAUCCACGAUUACUAGCGAUUCCGACUUCAUGGAGUCGAGUUGCAGACUCCAAUCCGGACUACGACGCACUUUAUGAGGUCCGCUUGCUCUCGCGAGAUCGCUUCUCUUUGUAUGCGCCAUUGUAGCACGUGUGUAGCCCUGGUCGUAAGGGCCAUGAUGACUUGACGUCAUCCCCACCUUCCUCCAGUUUAUCACUGGCAGUCUCCUUUGAGUUCCCGGCCGGACCGCUGGCAACAAAGGAUAAGGGUUGCGCUCGUUGCGGGACUUAACCCAACAUUUCACAACACGAGCUGACGACAGCCAUGCAGCACCUGUCUCACGGUUCCCGAAGGCACAUUCUCAUCUCUGAAAACUUCCGUGGAUGUCAAGACCAGGUAAGGUUCUUCGCGUUGCAUCGAAUUAAACCACAUGCUCCACCGCUUGCGCGGGCCCCCGUCAAUUCAUUUGAGUUUUAACCUUGCGGCCGUACUCCCCAGGCGGUCGACUUAACGCGUUAGCUCCGGAAGCCACGCCUCAAGGGCACAACCUCCAAGUCGACAUCGUUUACGGCGUGGACUACCAGGGUAUCUAAUCCUGUUUGCUCCCCACGCUUUCGCACCUGAGCGUCAGUCUUCGUCCAGGGGGCCGCCUUCGCCACCGGUAUUCCUCCAGAUCUCUACGCAUUUCACCGCUACACCUGGAAUUCUACCCCCCUCUACGAGACUCAAGCUUGCCAGUAUCAGAUGCAGUUCCCAGGUUGAGCCCGGGGAUUUCACAUCUGACUUAACAAACCGCCUGCGUGCGCUUUACGCCCAGUAAUUCCGAUUAACGCUUGCACCCUCCGUAUUACCGCGGCUGCUGGCACGGAGUUAGCCGGUGCUUCUUCUGCGGGUAACGUCAAUGAGCAAAGGUAUUAACUUUACUCCCUUCCUCCCCGCUGAAAGUACUUUACAACCCGAAGGCCUUCUUCAUACACGCGGCAUGGCUGCAUCAGGCUUGCGCCCAUUGUGCAAUAUUCCCCACUGCUGCCUCCCGUAGGAGUCUGGACCGUGUCUCAGUUCCAGUGUGGCUGGUCAUCCUCUCAGACCAGCUAGGGAUCGUCGCCUAGGUGAGCCGUUACCCCACCUACUAGCUAAUCCCAUCUGGGCACAUCCGAUGGCAAGAGGCCCGAAGGUCCCCCUCUUUGGUCUUGCGACGUUAUGCGGUAUUAGCUACCGUUUCCAGUAGUUAUCCCCCUCCAUCAGGCAGUUUCCCAGACAUUACUCACCCGUCCGCCACUCGUCAGCGAAGCAGCAAGCUGCUUCCUGUUACCGUUCGACUUGCAUGUGUUAGGCCUGCCGCCAGCGUUCAAUCUGAGCCAUGAUCAAACUCU
rnacentral:rRNA from 1 species